GUUCACAUCGCCGUUAUUGUCACUGUACUUGAUCGGGGUGUCGAACGACGAAGGGCGGGUCGCAUGGAACGGACGUGGUGGAUGGUUUGGAAAGGGGACGGAAAGCGACGGGAGCGAAGGGGAGAAGCCGAUGGUCAGAGUUUGGAUCAAGGAGUGUCGAGCUCGACCCUAGAAGAUUACAUCCGAGGGAAAGAGAGGAGAAACUCGAGGGCCGAUGGGUGGCGACCUCGACGUGGGGGCGCACCACUCGGACGUGGUGGAUGUUUUGGACGAAGGGAGACGGGAACAACGGGAGCGAAGGGGAGGAGCCAAUGCAUACCGUUUGGAUCAAAAAGUUUAAACUGUGCCCUAAUCGGUUGCAUUCUAGGCAGAGAGGAGAGAAUCUCGAGUGACAUUGUUCUGAGGGAAGGGGUUGAAUCGCUUGAUUUCCGGCGUUCAAGGAUGACAAGACACAGAUCCCUGGCCUAGAAGCAGAAAUGAGAUGGAAUUCUGCUUCUCGAUGUCAACAUAAUUCUAGGAGCUAGAGAUUACUGUACUUGGGCAGUGUUGAGGAAUUGAAGCACUGUGGCUGAUGAGUCAGUACGGCCGGGUCCACUGACCGAUGUUGGAAGUCUUUGGUUGGCUGAGUUGUCUGCCGAGGUCGGUCACGCCCUCAGGAUAGGGCGUUGGCGUCGGAAUAUUGAUUGACGUCUCUCUGUUGGGUCAUUGGUUGGUGGCCCUUGGUCAAGACGCUGGUUGGCGGCUCUCCGUCGGGAUGUUGGUUGGCGCCAGGAAGAAAAACGCCUCUCUUGAUCGGAAUGAUCUCCCCUCGGGCAUAACCGCUUUCCUGCACAUAAGGCCCCCGUUGAGUGGUUACUGAUUGUGGCCCCUCAACAAGAGGGUCGGCUGUACACGGGUUUUGCGUGAUGAUCGAUCGGGGGGGAGAGGAAGUACCUUUGCGCGGUCGCCGUCCUUGAAGUGCGGAACGAUGCCAUACGACACCGUCCCAAGCUUUCCGGGACGGGAUGUAUCGAGAAAUGCCUUGGUACAUGUCCUGGCCGGCGCGUGGGAGAGCUUCUCCUAUUGACCUGGCGAUGGCGUGAUGGGGCGUCGGUGGUGACGUGGCCCGGGCCCAACAUAUACCGUAUUAGACAGCACUACCAGUUUAUACACAAGGAGAACCAACAGAAGGUGUGGGCAGGUAUAUCCUCCCAGAAUAAUCUAAGGAAAUUGCAUUAUGCGGCUUCCAUGUUUAGAAUCAAUUCCCCAAGUUUCCGCAUGUUGUUCAUAGCCUCCGUUUGCUUCAUUUCUUGAUCGGAUCCUUUUAUGUUUUUGCAAUGAUCAAAGCUGUUUAAAACUACAUAAAGUUGCCUUUUAUGUUUCUUGAUAUUUGAAUUAGGUCUAUUCUGGAUUCAUCGAACACCAUGUUGGUGAAAGUUUGAUAACUUCUUCUAUGAUUUAUUUUUUACUAUUAUUUU